GAAAUGCGAUACUUGGUGUGAAUUGCAGAAUUCAGUGAAUCAUCGAAUCUUUGAACGCACAUUGCGCUUCCUGGUAUUCCGGGGAGCAUGCCCGUUUCAGAAUCAUUAUAAUCUCACAACCCCUCUGCUUUCGAGCUUUGGGCAAGUGGAUGUGGAUGCUUUGCGCUUUAGCAAUCAUCUUAAAAUGAUAGUGUGUGCCCCAGUCAGUCUGAUUGGUUAACCAAAGUGCAACAGAUUUAUCUAUUACGCUCUGGCUUUCGAAUCUGGACUUGUUGGGAUUCCUGCCCAAAUUCUUAACAGUCGCCACGUCAAAUUUGAUGUGGUACCUGAUAACUUGGUCUGAAAUCGGGCAAGAAAACCCGCUGAACUUAA
rnacentral:misc_RNA from 1 species